AUGCUGACGACCGGCGCACGGGUGAGUAACGCGUAUGCAACCUGCCGCUGAGGGGAGGAUAGCCCUAGGAAACUGGGAUUAAUACUCCAUGUAUUAUCAAAUAGGCAUCUAUUACAUAAUAAAGCUACGGCGGUCAGGGAUGGGCAUGCGUGCCAUUAGUUAGUUGGUGAGGUAACGGCUCACCAAGGCAUCGAUGGCUAGGGGUUCUGAGAGGAUGAUCCCCCACACUGGUACUGAGACACGGACCAGACUCCUACGGGAGGCAGCAGUGAGGAAUAUUGGUCAAUGGGCGCAAGCCUGAACCAGCCAUGCCGCGUGCAGGAUGACUGUUCUAUGAAUUGUAAACUGCUUUUCUGCGGGAAGAAAUGUACCUACGUGUAGGUAUUUGCCGGUACUGCAGGAAUAAGCAUCGGCUAACUCCGUGCCAGCAGCCGCGGUAAUACGGAGGAUGCAAGCGUUAUCCGGAUUCAUUGGGUUUAAAGGGUGCGCAGGCGGUGUAUUAAGUCAGUGGUGAAAUGCUGCGGCUCAACCGUAGACUUGCCAUUGAUACUGGUACACUUGAAUGUAGUUGAGGUAGGCGGAAUGUGUAAUGUAGCGGUGAAAUGCUUAGAUAUUACACAGAACACCGAUUGCGAAGGCAGCUUACUAAACUAUGAUUGACGCUGAGGCACGAAAGCGUGGGGAGCGAACAGGAUUAGAUACCCUGGUAGUCCACGCUGUAAACUAUGAUCACUGGUUGUUGGCAAUAUACCGUCAGCGACUGAGCGAAAGCAUUAAGUGAUCCACCUGGGGAGUACGUCGGCAACGAUGAAACUCAAAGGAAUUGACGGGGGCCCGCACAAGCGGAGGAACAUGUGGUUUAAUUCGAUGAUACGCGAGGAACCUUACCUGGGCUUAAAUGUAGAGUGCAUAGAGUGGAAACAUUCUUUUCCUUCGGGACUCUUUACAAGGUGCUGCAUGGUUGUCGUCAGCUCGUGCCGUGAGGUGUCGGGUUAAGUCCCAUAA
rnacentral:rRNA from 1 species